rnacentral:rRNA from 1 species
CCUACGGGGGGCAGCAGUGAGGAAUAUUGCGCAAUGGGGGAAACCCUGACGCAGCGACGCCGCGUGGAUGAUGAAGGCCUUCGGGUCGUAAAAUCCUGUCAGGUGGAAAGAAAUGUAGUAUGCCUAAUACGUGUACUAUUUGACGGUACCACCAAAGGAAGCACCGGCUAACUCCGUGCCAGCAGCCGCGGUAAUACGGAGGGUGCAAGCGUUGUUCGGAAUUACUGGGCGUAAAGCGCGCGUAGGCGGCUAUUUAAGUCAGAUGUGAAAGUCCACGGCUCAACCGUGGAAGUGCAUUUGAAACUGGAUGGCUUGAGUACUGGAGGGGGUGGUGGAAUUCCCGGUGUAGAGGUGAAAUUCGUAGAUAUCGGGAGGAAUACCGGUGGCGAAGGCGACCACCUGGCCCGAUACUGACGCUGAGGUGCGAAAGCGUGGGGAGCAAACAGGAUUAGAUACCCCGGUAGUC